GAAAAGAAGCUUAGAAGGCAGAAAACUGAAUUUCUUUGAUUUUCCCGUCAUCAUUGAUGAAAAAAUAUAUCACCACAAGCAAUUUGAAGGACAUUGGCUAUACCUGCACCUGUUUCAUAACCUCUCCUGGCUAUAAACCUGAGCACCGAUGCUUGACUUAUUGAGGUCCUGGUAAGGAACACGGAACUAAUAAGCCACUACCAACCGG